rnacentral:rRNA from 1 species
ACGAACGCUGGCGGCACGCUUAACACAUGCAAGUCGAACGAGAGAAGAGAAGCUUGCUUUUCUGAUCUAGUGGCGGACGGGUGAGUAACACGUGAGCAAUCUGCCUUUCAGAGGGGGAUACCGAUUGGAAACGAUCGUUAAUACCGCAUAAUAUAAUUGAACCGCAUGAUUUGAUUAUCAAAGAUUUAUCGCUGAAAGAUGAGCUCGCGUCUGAUUAGCUAGUUGGUAAGGUAACGGCUUACCAAGGCGACGAUCAGUAGCCGGACUGAGAGGUUGAUCGGCCACAUUGGGACUGAGACACGGCCCAGACUCCUACGGGAGGCAGCAGUGGGGAAUAUUGCACAAUGGAGGAAACUCUGAUGCAGCGAUGCCGCGUGAGGGAAGAAGGUUUUAGGAUUGUAAACCUCUGUCUUCAGGGACGAAAAAUGACGGUACCUGAGGAGGAAGCUCCGGCUAACUACGUGCCAGCAGCCGCGGUAAUACGUAGGGAGCGAGCGUUGUCCGGAAUUACUGGGUGUAAAGGGAGCGUAGGCGGGAUCGCAAGUCAGAUGUGAAAACUAUGGGCUUAACCCAUAAACUGCAUUUGAAACUGUGGUUCUUGAGUGAAGUAGAGGUAAGCGGAAUUCCUAGUGUAGCGGUGAAAUGCGUAGAUAUUAGGAGGAACAUCAGUGGCGAAGGCGGCUUACUGGGCUUUAACUGGCGCUGAGGCUCGAAAGCGUGGGGAGCAAACAGGAUUAGAUACCCUGGUAGUCCACGCCGUAAACGAUGAUUACUAGGUGUGGGGGGACUGACCCCUUCCGUGCCGCAGCAAACGCAAUAAGUAAUCCACCUGGGGAGUACGACCGCAAGGUUGAAACUCAAAGGAAUUGACGGGGGCCCGCACAAGCAGUGGAGUAUGUGGAUUAAUUCGAAGCAACGCGAAGAACCUUACCAGGUCUUGACAUCGUAUGCAUAGCUCAGAGAUGAGUGAAAUCUCUUCGGAGACAUAUAGACAGGUGGUGCAUGGUUGUCGUCAGCUCGUGUCGUGAGAUGUUGGGUUAAGUCCCGCAACGAGCGCAACCCUUACUGUUAGUUGCUACGCAAGAGCACUCUAGCAGGACUGCCGUUGACAAAACGGAGGAAGGUGGGGAUGACGUCAAAUCAUCAUGCCCCUUAUGACCUGGGCCUCACACGUACUACAAUGGCUGUCAACAGAGGGAAGCAAAGCCGCGAGGUGGAGCAAACCCCUAAAAGCAGUCUUAGUUCGGAUUGUAGGCUGCAACCCGCCUACAUGAAGUCGGAAUUGCUAGUAAUCGCAGAUCAGCAUGCUGCGGUGAAUACGUUCCCGGGCCUUGUACACACCGCCCGUCACGCCAUGGGAGUCGGUAACACCCGAAGCCUGUAGUCUAACCGCAAGGAGGACGCAGUCGAAGGUGGGAUUGAUGACUGGGGUG